UUAAUUCGAAUUCUCACCGUGAUACGAUAAAACUUGGAAGACACGAAAUCACUCAUAAAAUAGUCCACAAACACACUCCAAAACAGUCCACAAAUCACCAAGAUCCUUGGACCGAUUGGAGACCUCUCUCGGAUUCACAAAUACAACAAGAAUAUAAGGUGAACAAGGUGUAUUUCACACCAAAACAGCAACAAUACGUGAAGAACAAGAUGAACACAAAGGUACAAGAUUCGGAUUUAACAAUAACAACAAGAACACAAGAUUACAACACAAACACUAAACACGAUUACAAGAAAGUAAAGGGAUAGAUAGAUAAACCACAUGAAGGUAUAAUGUCAAGAACCCAAGAAUGGACACUCUUGAACCCUUAACACUAGACACAAUAAUAAACCUAUCUCUUACGUGACACAAGAUCAGAUUGCACCUCUCUAGCAUCAACGUUUCCAAGCAAGCAACAACAAAAGAGAAUUCAUCCUAUUGUUGUAUCCUAGUUUCGAUUUUGGUGCCUCAAGGAGAGAGGACUUGUGUUCUUUGGUCUUUUAAGACUCACAUUUAUCAUCAAAACUAAAUCUAAAAAUCCUACAAUGUUUCUUUUAUAACUAUUACAAAAUAUAACUUAAAAUGACCAAAAGGCCCUUCAAAGAGUGGGCACCCAUCUAGUGUAUUUUAUGGGCUGAUUUGGGUGCAUUUUGGGCCUCUUUUACACUUCAAUUGCACAUGUCAAGGCUCGGGUCCAACACGCACUCUCCUAAGUCCAUAUCCAAGAUUAUUCCCGUAUCACCGGGUGUUUUCCACAAAAUAUAACUUAAAAUGACCAAAAGGCCCUUCAAAGAGUGGGCACCCAUCUAGUGUAUUUUAUGGGCUGAUUUGGGUGCAUUUUGGGCCUCUUUUACACUUCAAUUGCACAUGUCAAGGCUCGGGUCCAAUACACACUCUCCUAAGUCCAUAUCCGAGAUUAUUCUCCUAUCACCUUCUCCAUCUUGGGAGGAAUUUGUCCACAAAUUCACGACUUCACCUCGUUCAAUUGGUCACUUCAAAGGAAACCUACUCAAAACAAUCCACAAACAAGUCACAAAAAAACAAGUCAAAAAAUAGUCCACAAAAUCAUGAAGAAUUUGAGGACUCAAUAACAACAAGUCUCAGCCAACAUCUUCAUUUUGAACCUCGGCUUCCUCUCCAUCUUAAGUCUUGUCUUCAAUCUCAUCCGAAACAAGUUUCCUACCAUCAUACAAGUAUUGUAGUAGUUUCCAUAUCUUUCAUGUUCCUUUCUACUAUACUCCUCUACAUAGAUAUAUUGGUUUUGAUGAAGUAGAGUUUCGGGUGAGAAGAAUGCUUGGUAAGGAAGAUUUUCGGUUGUGGAGCUUGGAUGGGAGAAUAUUGGCUUCCAAGUCCCUCUUGUUGGACUUGAUCGAAUUGAGGGAGAAGUGAUUCAUUUAGGUCUCGGGUUUGAGGACAUUUGUUGGUUUGGCUUAUGUCUAUGUCAUUUAGUGGUAGUCUUGGAGGGUUGAUCGUUUGAGGUAAAGCUUCGGGAGUAGAAACAUGAGAGUUUCUUCGGCUCUUCCCUCGAUCCAACCUCUCAAGUAUAGUAGACAUAUUCGAGCCUAAUUUGUCAAGACCCGUAUUCGCCUUAGCUAUUUCUCAAGUAAUAGCAUAAAGGUGGGCCAAAAUGGUGUCCAUUAUGGCAAAGGAGUUACCUACAAAACAGAAAACACGUUAGUUGUACAAAAACAUCCUCACUCUUUCUUUUAUUUCUUGUCUCUCGGAUCCCUCACACUCAAUCUCACAAGUGUUGUAAGAUUGCUUGUACUCUGAGAGGUGUUGAGAGGUGAAUCAAGUGUGUACAACGACUCCAAAGAAUAAAACACACAAAUGAACGUAAACACACACAAAAAAAAAAUACGGUUUCAAACCAACUCACAAUCUAGUAAUUAGUCACUAGUUUGUAAGUUAGUAUAGGAAUCAACAAAUGAAACUAAAGACACAAAAUGAAACUAAAAGAUCAAAAUUUGAGCUUAAAAUUUAUCAGUGAACAGUAAUUGGUGAUGUGGCAGUCCUUGAUUGGCCUCCGUCAAUAAUUUUAUUUUUCAAAUUUGGAAGUCUUGAUCAAUUCUACAAUUUGGACUUGGAUGAAAAUUGUUAAAUGGAGGAAAAUACAAACUAGUCUUUGGAAUUCAAAUUUCAAGACUCAAAAGUCUUUAACUAGACUUGUACUUUCCUUAAAACAUGGAUCCUUGUUUCAUGGGAAAGUGGAAUUGAGAAGUGAUGUAAAAUCUUUUGGUGGUUAGGGGUCUUUCAAGACUAACAAUUAUUUACACCUCUUUCCUUCACCUUUUAGGAUCUAUCAUUCACUUUCUGUUAACAAGGUGAUGAAUAUGGUGAAGAACUUCAAGAACACAACAACCACAACAAGAACAACCAACAACAAUCUCCCAAGAACAACAACAAGUUUCAACGCCUAAUUCCACAACAACAAGACCAACAAUAAAACCACCAACAAAUGGCCAAGUUUCUUUGGUGUUGUAUUUUCAGUUUUAACACUAGAUGAAGGUUGCGAUGAAUAACAAGAACACAACAACAACCACCAAGAUAAAAAAACAACAUCAACAAACGCCCAACAAAAAGGUCACCACACAGCUAAGUUAAAACAACAACUUUAACUCACGGCCACUUCUUGUUCACAAUAACAACGUCAAUUUUUAAAGCUCAAAUCUAGAUAUAGACUCAAUGUAUUAGUGAGGAAAAAAACUAACACUUAGAGACAAUAAAUACAAGAAAAAAUCUCGGCCAAGACACAACAAGAACACACUUUUCGGCCAAGAACACAACACGGACAGAUUACUAUUUUUUCUGGAAUUUUUCAGUUUUGAACACUUUUUUUUUCACUAACAAGCCCAAGAUUGAUUUUGUGGGAACAAGAUCAAGCCAUGCUUUGAUACCAAAUGAUACGAUAAAAACUUGAAAGACAAGAAAUCACUCAAAAAUAGUCCACAAACAUACUCCAAAACAGUCCACAAAUCACUAAGAUCCUUGGACCGAUUGGAGACCUCUCUCGAAUUCACAAAUACAAUAAGAAUACAAGGUGAACAAGGUGUAUUUCACACCAAAACAGCAACAAUACGUGAAGAACAAGAUGAACACAAAGGCACA
rnacentral:lncRNA from 1 species